UGGAAAAUGAGUGAUUUGUGAAAGACAGUAAAAUAUCUGACUAUUAAUGUACUGGUUUUGUCAUAAUGUAAAAGAAUUUAAAGUCAAAAUUCUGAAAUGAGUAAAUCUCAGAUACCUACCUAACAAAUAUUAAUAAAGAAAUAUUUGCCACAUUUUAUAUAUUCAGCUCUUUUUGUAUGAAAGCUAAUUGACUAGGAGAAUAUUAAGUAGAAUAGUUUGUAAUAACUCUCAAAGUUGUUUUUUAUCUAAUUUUUAUUUUUAAAUAACUAUAAAGGAAAAGUAAAAUGCUAUGAUUUUAAUAGGAGUGCAUAGUCCUUUAAUCUCAAAAACCCGCUUGUUGCAACCUUUUCCCCGUAAAAGUAUUAUCUUUUAAAAACAAUUGGGCAUAUGUUUCAGCUUUUAAAAAUAAUUAAAAGUUUAGAAAUAUUAUUAAAACUAAAAACUAUUUUGAAUAGCUUAUGAGUGUACUUUUUAAACUAGUUUUUAAUUGUAAACAAACAAAAGCAAUUUAUACUUAUGCUAAAAUCCAUUAUAUAAGCUUCAUUAAGAUACAGAUAAAAUUUACAGACUUUGUUCGAUAUUUUUAAUUUAUAAAAGUCGGAAAUGAAUGAAUGAAUAGUUCGAAGCUAAAUUGCAAGCUACAAAAAUACUGUUGUAGAAUUUAUAAGCAGACAACUAUUUAAUGUGCAGACACCAACUUUGUGUGAUUGUGCUGACAUAAGAAGGUAUUAAUUAGUUGAAAUAAAAUUAAAAGCUACCUGAGGUUGUUGAAGCAUUUCAUUUUGAUUAGUAAAAAAGUGGCAGCUCCUAUAAUAAAUAGGAUCAGUCUGAAAGGAGGCCAUGUUCAAUGGCUGAGAAUCAAUGUGACCAAUAUAAAACGAUCAUUAUCGAGGUACACAAAGAUGCUGAAUUUCUGAGUUUCCUUUGAUGUAUAGCAGGGCUACAAGAUAAGAAAAUCAGAUUUCUCAAUGCAUGCCUCGGGUUUGACUAUGUUGAAAAGGACCGUGUGUAUGAUUCCUGAGAGUAAUGUUUUGUUUAAGGAUGUAAUAUGAAUGUGAGAUGUUAGAGGUUUUGGUUUGUCUGUAGACUGAGAGAAAAAAUGGAUAGUGAGAACGGUACGACGAUGGAGCUAAAGUUAGGUUAAGGAUGCACCAUCUGAGCUUAACCUCAAGGGGAGAAUGUUAAUUUACAAGGACAUCUGCCCUAGUCAAGAAAAGCCAACACGGCAUGGUUUGGGUCCGUUUUCACUACCUAAACUCUAACAAAAGUUUCCUUUCAUUGGAACACGAAAGAUGUAAAAGUGUGCCCACUUCCAUUAAUGGAAGGUCCCCUCCUCUAGUUCACUUCCUUCUCCUUCACUAGGUUGCUUAUAAUAGCCAUUUUGUAAAAUUAAAUUCCUUUAGUAGAUAAACUUUUAUUCUUA